AGCUUUGCCCGAGGCCUCUGGGCUUCAUGCAGGAGGAGGAGAUCCCUGAACAAAAUCAACCCCAUUUUGCAAACAAGGAAGCUGAAUCUACAGAGAGGUCAGAUGAUUUGCCUACAUUUAUUUUUCUAGUUGCUGAACGGCUGAUGACCAUCGCCUAUGAAAGUGGUGUUAACCUCUUUGAUACUGCCGAAGUCUAUGCUGCUGGAAAGGCUGAAGUGAUUCUGGGGAGCAUCAUCAAGAAGAAAGGCUGGAGGAGGUCCAGUCUGGUCAUAACAACCAAACUCUACUGGGGUGGAAAAGCUGAAACAGAAAGAGGGCUGUCAAGAAAGCAUAUUAUUGAAGUAAAUUCUUGAAAGAAACCAAACUUCAACUCUGAAUAGUGCUCAUAUUUCGAUUUUGGGGUUUGUUUCCUGUUUCUGCUCCCAGGAUUGAAGGGUUCCCUCCAGAGGCUGCAGCUCGAGUAUGUGGAUGUGGUCUUUGCAAAUCGACCAGACAGUAACACUCCCAUGGAAGAAAUUGUCCGAGCCAUGACACAUGUGAUAAACCAAGGCAUGG
rnacentral:sRNA from 1 species